CCUACGGGUGGCAGCAGUGAGGAAUAUUGGUCAAUGGACGAGAGUCUGAACCAGCCAAGUAGCGUGAAGGAUGACUGCUCUAUGGGUUGUAAACUUCUUUUAUAUGGGAAUAAAACGUUCCACGUGUGGGAUUUUGUAUGUACCAUAUGAAUAAGGAUCGGCUAACUCCGUGCCAGCAGCCGCGGUAAUACGGAGGAUCCGAGCGUUAUCCGGAUUUAUUGGGUUUAACGGGAGCGUAGGUGGAUUGUUAAGUCAGUUGUGAAAGUUUGCGGCUCAACCGUAAAAUUGCAGUUGAAACUGGCAGUCUUGAGUACAGUAGAGGUGGGCGGAAUUCGUGGUGUAGCGGUGAAAUGCUUAGAGAUCACGAAGAACUCCGAUUGCGAAGGCAGUUCACUGGACUGCAACUGACACUGAGGCUCGAAAGUGUGGGUAUCAAACAGGAUUAGAUACCCCAGUAGUC
rnacentral:rRNA from 1 species